ACGGGUGAGUAACGCGUGGGAACGUGCCUUCUGGUUCGGAAUAACUCAGGGAAACUUGAGCUAAUACCGGAUACGCCCUUUUGGGGAAAGGUUUACUGCCGGAAGAUCGGCCCGCGUCUGAUUAGCUAGUUGGUGGGGUAACGGCCUACCAAGGCGACGAUCAGUAGCUGGUCUGAGAGGAUGAUCAGCCACACUGGGACUGAGACACGGCCCAGACUCCCACGGGAGGCAGCAGUGGGGAAUAUUGGACAAUGGGCGCAAGCCUGAUCCAGCCAUGCCGCGUGAGUGAUGAAGGCCUUAGGGUUGUAAAGCUCUUUUAUCCGGGACGAUAAUGACGGUACCGGAGGAAUAAGCCCCGGCUAACUUCGUGCCAGCAGCCGCGGUAAUACGAAGGGGGCUAGCGUUGCUCGGAAUCACUGGGCGUAAAGGGCGCGUAGGCGGUCUUUUAAGUCGGGGGUGAAAGCCUGUGGCUCAACCACAGAAUUGCCUUCGAUACUGGGAGACUUGAGUUCGGAAGAGGUUGGUGGAACUGCGAGU
rnacentral:rRNA from 1 species